rnacentral:rRNA from 1 species
GUCGAACGGACUCAUAUUGAAACCUAGUGAUUUAUGAGUUAGUGGCGGACGGGUGAGUAACGCGUGGAUAACCUACCGUAUACCGGGGGAUAACACUUAGAAAUAGGUGCUAAUACCGCAUAAGCGCACGGCUCCGCAUGGGGCAGUGUGAAAAACUCCGGUGGUAUACGAUGGAUCCGCGUCUGAUUAGCUAGUUGGCGGGGUAACGGCCCACCAAGGCAGCGAUCAGUAGCCGGCUUGAGAGGGUGGACGGCCACAUUGGGACUGAGACACGGCCCAAACUCCUACGGGAGGCAGCAGUGGGGAAUAUUGCACAAUGGGGGAAACCCUGAUGCAGCGACGCCGCGUGAGUGAAGAAGUAUCUCGGUACGUAAAGCUCUAUCAGCAGGGAAGAAAAUGACGGUACCUGACUAAGAAGCCCCGGCUAACUACGUGCCAGCAGCCGCGGUAAUACGUAGGGGGCAAGCGUUAUCCGGAUUUACUGGGUGUAAAGGGAGCGUAGACGGCAGCACAAGUCUGGAGUGAAAUCCCGGGGCUUAACCCCGGAACUGCUUUGGAAACUGUGCGGCUGGAGUGCAGGAGGGGUAAGCGGAAUUCCUAGUGUAGCGGUGAAAUGCGUAGAUAUUAGGAGGAACACCGGUGGCGAAGGCGGCUUACUGGACUGUAACUGACGUUGAGGCUCGAAAGCGUGGGGAGCAAACAGGAUUAGAUACCCUGGUAGUCCACGCCGUANACGAUGAUUACUAGGUGUCGGGGGAUCNAGGUCCUCCGGUGCCGGCGCAAACGCAUUAAGUAAUCCACCUGGGGAGUACGUUCGCAAGAAUGAAAC